rnacentral:rRNA from 1 species
UAAGGAAUAUUGCUCAAUGGGAGAAAUCCUGAAGCAGCAACGCCGCGUGGAGGAUGAAGGGUCUAUGACUUGUAAACUCCUGUAAAGAAGGAAAAAAUUCCCAUUAGAUGGGAGAUGAUGGUACUUCUGGAGUAAGCCCCGGCUAACUACGUGCCAGCAGCCGCGGUAAUACGUAGGGGGCAAGCGUUGUCCGGAUUUACUGGGUGUAAAGGGUGCUCAGGCGGAUUUGUAAGUCAGAGGUGAAAUCUUACAGCUUAACUGUGAAACUGCCUUUGGUACUGCAAGCCUAGAGUAUGGAAGAGAGUGAUGGAAUAUCUGGUGUAGCAGUGAAAUGCGUAGAUAUCAGAUAGAACACCAAUGGCGAAGGCAGUCACUUGGUCCAUUACUGACGCUAAAGCACGAAAGCGUGGGUAGCAAACA